rnacentral:rRNA from 1 species
AUUGAACGCUGGCGGCAGGCCUAACACAUGCAAGUCGAGCGCGCGGCGGACGGGUGAGUAAUGUCUGGGAAACUGCCUGAUGUAGGGGGAUAACUACUGGAAACGGUAGCUCAUACCGCAUACCAUCAGAUGUGCCCAGAUGGGAUUAGCUAGUAUGUGGGGUAAUGUCUCACCAAGGCGACGCUCCCUAGCUGGUCUGAGAGGAUGACCAGCCACACUGGGACUGAGACACGGUCCAGACUCCUACGGGAGGCAGCAGUGGGGAAUAUUGCAAAAUGGGCGAAAGCCUGAGGCAGCCAUGCCGCGUGUGUGAAGAAGGCCUUCGGGUUGUAAAGCACUUUCAGCGGGGAGGCGGUACCUGCAGAAGAAGCACCGGCUAACUACGUGCCAGCAGCCGCGGUAAUAC